UACGGAGGGGGCGAGCGUUAUUCGGAAUUAUUGGGCGUAAAGGGCGCGUAGGCGGCUGGGCAAGUCAAAGGUGAAAUCCCUCGGCUCAACUGAGGAACUGCCUUUGAAACUGCCUGGCUUGAGGCCGGGAGGGGGUAGCGGAAUUCCCAGUGUAGCGGUGAAAUGCGUAGAUAUUGGGAGGAACACCAGUGGCGAAGGCGGCUACCUGGACCGGUUCUGACGCUGAUGCGCGAAAGCGUGGGUAGCGAACAGG
rnacentral:rRNA from 1 species